rnacentral:rRNA from 1 species
CGCAUCUGUGCAUGCAGCAUAUCAAUAAGCGGGAGGAAAAGAAACUAACAAGGAUUCCCUCAGUAACGGCGAGUGAAGCGGGAAGAGCUCAAAUUUGAAAUCUUGAAAGGUCACCUUUCACGAAUUGUAGUUUAAAGAAGUGUUUUCUGUUACGAUCGUAAUAUAAGUUCUUUGGAAUAGGACAUCACAGAGGGUGAGAAUCCCGUCUAUGAUUGCGAUUUGUAGCUUUGUGAUACACUUUCAAAGAGUCGGGUUGCUUUGGGAAUGCAGCCCAAAACGGGAGGUAAAUUUCUUCUAAGGCUAAAUAUUGGCGAGAGACCGAUAGCGAACAAGUACCGUGAGGGAAAGAUGAAAAGAACUUUGAAAAGAGAGUUAAAUAGUACGUGAAAUUGUCAAAAGGGAAGCGUUUAACACCAGUGUUGUUUUCUGAAAAUCAACCUCUGUUAGCUUUAUGCAUGUUUGUUUAGACCUAAUCAGCUAUCUUUCAUGUUCUAUUGUUUGCAGUGGUGCACUUUUCAGUUUACAGGUCAACAUCAGUUUUUUUUUACCGUAAAAAAGUUAAAGAAAGGUAGCUCAUGGCUCCGGUCGUGAGUGUUAUAGUCUUUUUCCUAUGCGGUAGGAGAGACUGAGGUCUGCAGUGUAGGCUAUUUGGCUAGAUACUCAGGUGCUAUGUGAUACCAUUUCAUAAACAACUUGUUGAUUAUGUUUUGUCUAUUGCAUACUCGCUUGUACUAUCAUACCUACGCUUAGGAUGUUGACGAUCAGCUGAGCGCG